rnacentral:rRNA from 1 species
AAUGUGAGAGAUAUCGGAUUUUACUUAUUGAUUUAUAAGAAAAAACUUCGAAAUUUCUUGCGUCAUAUUAAGGGUAAGGAAAAGCGCUGAUCAAUGUAGCACGUUUGGUUUAAUUUAAGGGGCUGACCGACUCAGGAGGUUAGUGCAAUGGCAUAAGCCAGCUUGACUGCGAGCGUGACGGCGCGAGCAGGUGCGAAAGCAGGUCAUAGUGAUCCGGUGGUUCUGAAUGGAAGGGCCAUCGCUCAACGGAUAAAAGGU